UACGUAGGGUGCGAGCGUUGUCCGGAAUUACUGGGCGUAAAGAGCUCGUAGGUGGUUUGUCGCGUUGUUCGUGAAAACUCACAACUCAAUUGUGGGCGUGCGGGCGAUACGGGCAGACUGGAGUACUGCAGGGGGAGACUGGAAUUCCUGGUGUAGCGGUGGAAUGCGCAGAUAUCAGGAGGAACACCGGUGGCGAAGGCGGGUCUCUGGGCCGAUACUGACGCUGAGGAGCGAAAGCCAGGGGAGCGAACAGG
rnacentral:rRNA from 1 species